GUUCAAUCUUCCAUUUACAUUUUCUUGCUUUUCACUUCUCACUCCUCUCACGGCCAAAACUCUCUGUUCUUCCAUUAGAUCUCCGGCUUGUCUUAAUGAUGACUCUAACAGAGAAAUUAAAAUCCUUAAACGACCCUUUUGCUCUUCUUGUUUAUUGUUCAUCGAUGAUCUUCUCUUUCUAUUGUCAGCCAUUCGAUUUUCUCUUUCUCUUUCUGUUUGUUCGAAUCUCUUUAGCAAAUUUGUAUUAAGGAUGCUCAGAUCACCAAUCAUUUUAGUGGCAGUGGUUUCACUCUUAAGAGUCCCAAUCUGGUUUGGGUACUGUUCACAAACGAGAUAUCUACUGUUCAUGACUAAAUGUCUUCUCUAUAUUACUUGUUUUCCUCCCGUUGUCUUCUUAAAAGGGGGAAAAAAUAGAAGAAGGCAUUUACCUUAAUCUCUGCCUCUCUUUCAUUUGCCGUCGAAAUUCCAAAGUUUCGACAAUCAAUCUUCGUCCAGUGUUGUCUUCGACGUUUCUUCGGCCGACCAGCAUCAUGAUGAACAAAGGGUAAACCGAGGUUACACUAGACAUCGAUUUUUUUUUUCUUUCAAGUUUUGUUUGGGUGGGGGGUGUUUAUUGUUGAACAUUUUCAUAAUUUAAUUGAUGUCUUUGCGAUUUUUCUGCUUUAUCGAUUUCAUUUCUGGAUUUGAUUUAAGAAUCGGUGUCCUUUGAAGGUUUCUUCAAUCAUACUAAUUUCUUUUUCAAGUUAAUAAUCUAGCGCAACUCAAUUAUUUAAAGCCCAUAAUGUUCUAGGGUUUCAACUUCAUCCACAUCCAGUCACCUUAUUGGAGUUUCCUCAACACUAAGCAGUGGAAGAAGCAGCACCACCAUAACGGAAGCGGCUGUUUAACGACGCAGAAGUANAUUUUUUUCUUAUA
rnacentral:lncRNA from 1 species